rnacentral:rRNA from 1 species
UACGGAGGGAGCAAGCGUUACUCGGAAUUAUUGGGCGUAAAGGGCGCGUAGGCGAUUCGAUAAGUCUCAUGUGAAAUCCCAGGGCCUAACCCUGGAAUGGCAUGGGAUACUGUUGGAUUUGAGUUCCGGAGAGGAAGGCAGAAUUCCCGGUGUAGCGGUGAAAUGCGUAGAUAUCGGGAGGAAUACCAGUGGCGAAGGCGGCCUUCUGGACGGAUACUGACGCUGAGGCGCGAAAGCGUGGGGAGCGAACAGG